rnacentral:tRNA from 1 species
AUUAAAGAGGUAUGCUAAGCAAACUGAAGCUUCUAACUUUAAGUUUAAGCGAUGCAAUUUCGUUUAUACUUCU